CAGCCAGUCGGCAGCCGAGCUCAGUUCUCCCAAAAUUAUAAAAGCAGGAAAACUCAAAACAAGGAAACCCAAUAAGGCCAGUGAUUUCAGCCAUAUGGCAAACUGGCCAACACCAGGAGAGUUCAUGAGCACUGGAUCUCAGAGUAUCAUCAGCCAAGGAAAUAAGAAGCCACAAAUUAGAAAAGAAAAAGAAGAGAAGGUUGAAAAGAGGAGUAACUUAGAGGGUCCU
rnacentral:lncRNA from 1 species